rnacentral:rRNA from 1 species
AUGGCCCCAUAUAGGUUUGUUGCCUUUGGAUUUCUAGGUGCUCUCAAACUGCAAAACAAAUAUUAUGGCCCAUUUCUGAUUACUCAGAGGGUUGGUAAAGUAGCUUAUAAGCUCCAAUUCUCUGAUCAUGUGAAAAUACACCUUGUCUUUCAUGCCAGUCAGUUGAAGAAGCCUAUUGGUUCUAAAUCAAUUCCCAGCCCCAAUUUACCCACGGUAACUGCUGAUGAUACUGUCAAGACUGGCCCUGCAAUGGUUCUUCAAGUCAGACAAGUUCCUAGAAAUAAUUUACCUGUUGUGUAGUGGUACAUUCAGUGGAAUCUGCCGCCAGAAGAUGCAACGUGGGAGGAUGCAGAUUUCAUUAAGUACAUAUUUCCAGAGUUCUUCAAAGUGACCACACAGUCAUGGCAUGCUCAGCAACAAUUGCCGUGA